CCCACACCUAUGUGUGUAGGACCCCAAACGUUCACCAUUAAAUUUGGCACAGAUCUUCAGGAAAGUUAUCACAUGGGUGUUGGACUUGACUUUUCCAAAGAUCUGUAACAAAUUUAAUGGUGAUCUUUUGGGGUCCUACACACAUGGAUGUGGA
rnacentral:pre_miRNA from 1 species